ACGAACGCUGGCGGCGUGCCUAAUACAUGCAAGUAGAACGCUGAAGAGAGGAGCUUGCUCUUCUUGGAUGAGUUGCGAACGGGUGAGUAACGCGUAGGUAACCUGCCUUGUAGCGGGGGAUAACUAUUGGAAACGAUAGCUAAUACCGCAUAACAAUGGAUGACACAUGUCAUUUAUUUGAAAGGGGCAAUUGCUCCACUACAAGAUGGACCUGCGUUGUAUUAGCUAGUAGGUGAGGUAAUGGCUCACCUAGGCGACGAUACAUAGCCGACCUGAGAGGGUGAUCGGCCACACUGGGACUGAGACACGGCCCAGACUCCUACGGGAGGCAGCAGUAGGGAAUCUUCGGCAAUGGGGGCAACCCUGACCGAGCAACGCCGCGUGAGUGAAGAAGGUUUUCGGAUCGUAAAGCUCUGUUGUAAGUCAAGAACGGGUGUGAGAGUGGAAAGUUCACACUGUGACGGUAGCUUACCAGAAAGGGACGGCUAACUACGUGCCAGCAGCCGCGGUAAUACGUAGGUCCCGAGCGUUGUCCGGAUUUAUUGGGCGUAAAGCGAGCGCAGGCGGUUUGAUAAGUCUGAAGUUAAAGGCUGUGGCUCAACCAUAGUUCGCUUUGGAAACUGUCAAACUGAGUGCA
rnacentral:rRNA from 1 species